CCAAGGCAAUGAUACGUAGCCGACCUGAGAGGGUAAUCGGCCACAUUGGGACUGAGACACGGCCCAAACUCCUACGGGAGGCAGCAGUAGGGAAUCUUCCACAAUGGACGAAAGUCUGAUGGAGCAACGCCGCGUGAGUGAUGAAGGGUUUCGGCUCGUAAAACUCUGUUGUUGGAGAAGAACAGGUGUGAGAGUAACUGUUCACAUCUUGACGGUAUCCAACCAGAAAGCCACGGCUAACUACGUGCCAGCAGCCGCGGUAAUACG
rnacentral:rRNA from 1 species